rnacentral:rRNA from 1 species
AGCGUAGGCGGACUUUUAAGUGGGAUGUGAAAUACCCGGGCUUAACCUGGGUGCUGCAUUCCAAACUGGGAGUCUAGAGUGCAGGAGGGGAAAGUGGAAUUCCUAGUGUAGCGGUGAAAUGCGUAGAGAUUAGGAAGAACACCAGUGGCGAAGGCGACUUUCUGGACUGUAACUGACGCUGAGGCUCGAAAGCGUGGGGAGCGAACA